UCGACCAGACCUCUCAUUCAGUCAUUCUCUUUCUUUCUUUACAUAUCAGUUUCAAAGGAAACCUACGUUCUUCAUCACUAUCCUGUAUCUUUUCAAUGGAAAACUAAUAUCUAACCCCUAAUGCUAGAUUUACUUCAAACGGAUUUGAUAUUCCCACUACAGAAAUUGAAAGUUAGGGUUCGAGGUGAUGUCGUGAGAUGAAUCGGGGUUUUGCUGCAAGAAUCAAAAGCUGUGAGUUGAAAGUUAGGAUUUGAGAUUGAAAGAAAAUUAGGGUUCUAGGUGAUGUCGAGAGAUGAAUCGGGGUUUUUUCUGCAAGAUUCAAAAGUUGUGAGUUGAAAGUUAGGGUUUGAGAUUGAAAGUUAGGGUGGAUAACAUUGAAACUGAAAGUUAGGGCUUGAGGUGAUGUUCUGAGAUGAAUCAGGGUUUUCCUUCAAGAGUCGAGAUUGAUUAGGAUACAAGCAUGGUGAGUUGGUUGUGAAAAAACUAUCUAGUGGAGGGUCUUGUCAUUGCAGUUGUAACUUCAAGUACUUCAACCUCAGAUAUGGUAAACUAACUCCUAUCUUCAUGGUAAACUUAUCCUAUUUUUAAAAAUACCUUCACUGUAAGUUAGAAAACUGCGAUAAGGUUAUGAUUUUCGUUUUUGUUUUCCCGAGCUGGCAUAAAAAAUGGUUGGUGUUAUGCACCUGAAUUACCUCGUCCUACCAUAUGAUGUUUCACUGAAUUUCUAUAGUUUAUGUUCUCAUGAAGGUUCACUUGCACAAGUAUGGCUUUAGUAUAAGGCUUAGGUAUUCAGUCUCCCAUGUUGGGUAUCUUUAUAUUUGUAGGUUCACUUGGUGACCUUCAAAGAACACAGGAUCAUUGAUUUCUUGUUGCUGGACAUUUUGCAGACACUAAUGAAGCAUUCUCUUUUCCUCUAUGUAGACAUUUUCCAGAAGUUUUGUCGGCUCAACGAUCCGACAAGGUUUGCUUAUUCAUCCUUUACAAAAAUAAGUUAAUGUAUUAGUUGUGUCGGGAAUCAUGUAAUGUCAAAUAUUUUGUUGUCCCUACAUAUUUAUAGUCUUUUAAUUUGAGGAACUGAUCAAUCUAGUCUUCAACCUAAACAUGGUUCUAAUGAAGCUCUCAAUUGCUUUACUGAUGAGAGAUGGUCAAUAAUGGGAAAUGAUGGGGUAAAUGAUGUCACCAACCUUGUCAACUCAUCUUCCGAAAAAAUUACGGGGACUAAUAACUCUUUCAUCAACGGGUUUUUAGUUGUGAGUAAUGUAGUACUACGUGCUAAGACAUCCAUGCCUUUUCUGAAUGUACCUGCUGCUGUGCUUCUCAUAGUUCUUCGAGAGCAUGGGCAGAUAAUAGCAUUGAUGCUUACCCACCUUCUGGGGUCAAAGAUGCUCCUUAAGCUUAGGGUCUCGGUUUAGCGGUCUAAAUUUGCAUCUUUUACAUUAUUUUGAUUUGAUUGUCUAAAGCUGCUAAAUUCAGUCAUUGCUAUGAAGUUUGUAAUUUCUGUAUUAUGUGUGUUUUAAUUGUGCAUGAUGACUUUAUGUUGUGUAAAAAGUUGGGUGAAAGUGCUUUUUGGAGUAAUUUAUAAAGAAACCUGAGCUCAAGGUAAAUGAAUAAAAUGGGCUCUUCCAAGAAAAUCGGCUAAACCUAGGAUUCCAAGAAAAAAAU